rnacentral:rRNA from 3 species
AUUGCCUCAGUAACGGCGAGUGAAGCGGCAACAGCUCAAAUUUGAAAUCUGGCCCUAGGCCCGAGUUGUAAUUUGCAGAGGAUGCUUUUGGUGAGGUGCCUUCCGAGUUCCCUGGAACGGGACGCCAUAGAGGGUGAGAGCCCCGUCUGGUCGGACACCGAGCCUCUGUAAAGCUCCUUCGACGAGUCGAGUAGUUUGGGAAUGCUGCUCUAAAUGGGAGGUAUAUGUCUUCUAAAGCUAAAUACCGGCCAGAGACCGAUAGCGCACAAGUAGAGUGAUCGAAAGAUGAAAAGCACUUUGAAAAGAGAGUUAAAUAGCACGUGAAAUUGUUGAAAGGGAAGCGUUUAUGACCAGACUUGGCCCGGUUGAUCAUCCAGCGUUCUCGCUGGUGCACUCUGCCGGUCCAGGCCAGCAUCAGUUCGUCGCGGGGGAUAAAGGUUUCGGGAAUGUGGCUCCUCCGGGAGUGUUAUAGCCCGUUGCGUAAUACCCUGCGGUGGACUGAGGUCCGCGCUUCUGCAAGGAUGCUGGCGUAAUGGUCAUCAACGACCCGUCUUGAAACACGGACCAAGGAGUCGUCUUCGUAUGCGAGUGUUCGGGUGUAAAACCCCUACGCGUAAUGAAAGUGAACGCAGGUGAGAGCUUCGGCGCAUCAUCGACCGAUCCUGAUGUUCUCGGAUGGAUUUGAGUAAGAGCAUACGGGGCCGGACCCGAAAGAAGGUGAACUAUGCCUGUAUAGGGUGAAGCCAGAGGAAACUCUGGUGGAGGCUCGCAGCGGUUCUGACGUGCAAAUCGAUCGUCAAAUAUGGGCAUGGGGGCGAAAG